UUGUCCUGAGGACUAUGAUGUGCCCAGCAGAACCAGGCCCAAGACCCGCCUAUCUCCUUCAUCUCCUCUAGGUAACCAGGUGCCCGAGGCGCCCUUACUCACAACUCUCAGGCCUUUGACCUUGGCACCUUCCCCGGUUGUUCUGCUGGGUGCCUGAGGUGCUGCCAAUUUGCCCAGCCUGCCAAGUACACUCUUCCUUCACUCCUGUGACAUAGAAAACCCACGUCCCUUCCAGCGGGGCUGCUGCCUGGAAGCCUGGAGGGAGGUACUGCUGUGCUGGUGUUCUCCAGUCUCCCUGACGGCACAGGGGCCAUCUUCUGAGAAAGGCUUUCUGCUCAAAACUUUGCUUCUAACUCCAAGUAUCCAUUUCUCUCAGCAUUUUUGAAAACCUGUAAGCUGAGUCUAUCUAAUUCCAUGCUCUGCUCUGCGCGUUAUGUGUGCAUAAACAUGCCAAUGGUGAGGCUGGGUCUUAGCAGUUUCCUGAGUACUCAUGCACCAGCAAGCUGUUCCUUCCGAGCUGCUGUGUACUUCUCCUGUACCUUCACCCCUGCUGGGGCUCUUCUGCCUGUUCUCAAGCUGACCCUGUCUGGAAGACCUUGGGGACUGCCUCUGGGCCAGGGGUUCUGAGAUGAUCUGAAGUCCAUCUGAAGCUCUUCUGACCUAAAUUCUCCGAGUACCUGGAACAUAGCCCUGUCGUGAGCAACAAGCAGAGGGUGGCAACCACUGGCUACACAGAAUCAGACAGAUCGGCAACUAUUGGUAGUAGGUGCUGGACUUGUCUGCAGUCUGUUAUCAGGAAGAGCCGCAGAGGGCAGUGAAUGGCAGGAGGACAUGCAUAUCAAUCUGAACCCCGUGUUUAAAGUCUAGUUUGAUGCAGGAGGAUUUCUCCUUAAUCAGAGCCCAAUUCUCCUGGCCACCAAACAGCACCCAUCCUUCAGGUCUUCUUUGCCGGAUUAUCUUUCCAGGGGAGCCACCUUACUUGGACUCAUGUAGCUCUGUCUACAUGCCUCCUUCCAUUGGGGUCGCUUCGUCUGGGGGGGUAACAUUUAAAUGUUUUAAAACAGUAAGGAUGAGUCUGGUCCUCUACUGGUUUGAAUAGAUAGCUGAUUCCACCAGAGGCCCAGUAGGAGCAAACAUUAACUCUUGAGUUGCUGAAUGGGAUGAAAUCUGCCCAUGCCAGGAGAGGGUAGGUGAUUGAGAGACUAGCGAGGGGCAAGGCAAGCAUUUGCCACUAUUAAGAGUUUGUAUGGGGGCUGCGGAUUUAGCUCAGUGGUAGAGCGCUUGCCUAGGAAGCGCAAGGCCCUGGGUUCGGUCCCCAGCUCCGAAAAAAAGAACCAAAAAAAAAAAAAAAAAAAAAGAGUUUGUAUGGCUGUACCCAGUGCACACAGCUGCCCAGUGGGAGAAAAUGGAAUCCAGGUUUCUUGAGCUCACUGCAAGUAUCUUCUGACUCCUUAAGAGGUGCAGCCCCCCUUCUUUCUCCACACAAAACCCAGCACUGGCUUCUUCUAGCAGCCGUCACAUUUCAGCGUGUCAGGGAUGUGCUUAAUGUGACCCAUUGCCCACUGUCAGUAUAUAAACGGGGACCCACUGUCUUGUGCCGUGCCUUGACCUUUCCCUCAUGAAUUGCCUUUUCUCUGCCUCAAAGUAGGGGUUCGGGAAAAACCAGUCUCUGAAGCCCACUCAGUUUCUUCAUGUACCCUUCAUGUGGAAUGAUACAGGAGUCUCAAAAGCCCAGGAAGUCCACUGGGUCCAGUACUGGUACAGUCACCAUCUAGUUUUGUCCCCAAUAAUAGGGAUGACAGUAAGAGAGUAGUGAAGGUCAAAUAAAUUCACCUUGGUGUCACAUAAAGAACAUUCAAUCACAGUGAACCCCAGGGGACGUCAUCUAUUUUUCCUUAACUAUAGGCCUCGCAGAUACUGGAUUUCCCCUCCCCUUCACUAAUCGAUGUCCCCAAGCAGCCACAUUUUAAUCCCUAGAUGAGCAACCAUGAGUGGGCAGCGGGUGAUCACCAAGCUUUGUCCUACAUCAUCAGAGGGAGCAGGACUGAGACCCACUGAGGUUUUAUCAGGGGUAAAACCUAUACUAGACACUAAGCAUACACCGUGGCCCUUACCACUCAACUCUGAAAGCCACACCUGGGGCAAACAGUGGUUUGUGGAUUCAGACCCAGGUCUGUGAGCCUGAAUGGUGGCUACACAGAGAGCAGCAUGAAUUCUGUUGGGAAGACAAUUCCCUUCCUAGGUUUGUUUUUCCCUCAAAGCAGGAAAUUGACACUCGUGUUUAGAAGUGAGACUCACGGGGAGCAGCAUUCUCCCUAAAGCCAUCUCCCACUUCUUCCAAGCCAGGCUUAAUGACCCGAGCUGCCAGCGAGGAUGAAAGAACCUUGUUAAUGAAGUCCUCUGCCAUGGGAAGGAGAUGAAAGAAAAGAAGAAAGGGGCGGGGUGGGGGAGAACAAUCCUUCGCAAAUAUUUUCUGUUAAUAAAUUCCAUUUUGCGUCUAAAA